GGAAUGUGGCUCAGUGGUAGAGCAUUUACCUCAUACAUAUAAGGCACUGGGUUCGAUCCUAAGCACCA
rnacentral:tRNA from 1 species